rnacentral:rRNA from 1 species
UGCUGCUUCGCUGACGAGUGGCGGACGGGUGAGUAAUGUCUGGGAAACUGCCUGAUGGAGGGGGAUAACUACUGGAAACGGUGGCUAAUACCGCAUAACGUCGCAAGACCAAAGAGGGGGACCUUCGGGCCUCUUGCCAUCAGAUGUGCCCAGAUGGGAUUAGCUUGUUGGUGAGGUAACGGCUCACCAAGGCGACGAUCCCUAGCUGGUCUGAGAGGAUGACCAGCCACACUGGAACUGAGACACGGUCCAGACUCCUACGGGAGGCAGCAGUGGGGAAUAUUGCACAAUGGGCGCAAGCCUGAUGCAGCCAUGCCGCGUGUAUGAAGAAGGCCUUCGGGUUGUAAAGUACUUUCAGCGGGGAGGAAGGUGUUGUGGUUAAUAACCGCAGCAAUUGACGUUACCCGCAGAAGAAGCACCGGCUAACUCCGUGCCAGCAGCCGCGGUAAUACGGAGGGUGCAAGCGUUAAUCGGAAUUACUGGGCGUAAAGCGCACGCAGGCGGUCUGUCAAGUCGGAUGUGAAAUCCCCGGGCUCAACCUGGGAACUGCAUUCGAAACUGGCAGGCUUGAGUCUUGUAGAGGGGGGUAGAAUUCCAGGUGUAGCGGUGAAAUGCGUAGAGAUCUGGAGGAAUACCGGUGGCGAAGGCGGCCCCCUGGACAAAGACUGACGCUCAGGUGCGAAAGCGUGGGGAGCAAACAGGAUUAGAUACCCUGGUAGUCCACGCCGUAAACGAUGUCUACUUGGAGGUUGUGCCCUUGAGGCGUGGCUUCCGGAGCUAACGCGUUAAGUAGACCGCCUGGGGAGUACGGCCGCAAGGUUAAAACUCAAAUGAAUUGACGGGGGCCCGCACAAGCGGUGGAGCAUGUGGUUUAAUUCGAUGCAACGCGAAGAACCUUACCUGGUCUUGACAUCCACAGAACUUUCCAGAGAUGGAUUGGUGCCUUCGGGAACUGUGAGACAGGUGCUGCAUGGCUGUCGUCAGCUCGUGUUGUGAAAUGUUGGGUUAAGUCCCGCAACGAGCGCAACCCUUAUCCUUUGUUGCCAGCGGUUAGG